GAUCAUUUCUGUAUAAAAAAGGGAUGCUGACACAAGAUAGUUUAAAGCUUGAGAUGACAGCUGAUUUUUGGCAUUCAUUCAAGGAAUAUUAUGAUGAGUUCAAAUCAAGUGUUAAAGAAGACAAAUGGGAGGCUCUUAAUGCCCUGGACAGGAGGAGAACAAGACAAAAAGAUAAAGAAAACUAGAUUCAGAAGAUAAUUGAGACAUUGGACUUGUACCUGUAUUUCUUUUACUUUUUUAAUAUAAAUAUGAACCUGAAA